rnacentral:lncRNA from 10 species
GAACAUACUCAAGUGUCUCAGCUCAACAUUUGGAGAUGAGCCAUCCUCCUCUUAUUGUAAGAAAAGCUUGAAGGAGUAUUUUCACAGCGAUGGAACUGGAAGUUAAGGCAACUUCUAUCAGCAUCAAGAAAAGAAAAGAAGUAUUCACCACUUACGAAACAACAUCUCUCUUCUCAUCAAUAGUUUGAUUUACAGGUACAUGUUUUGCUUUAGAAGUUUUUAUUUUUUAUAAAUGUAAUGUGUAUUCUUAAGGUGUAACAUUAAGAACUUUGUUUUGUUGUUAGAGAUUUUAGCAAAAGUAAAAAUAAUAUUAAAACUUUUCAAAAAUCUUAGCUAUAACAGACUUUAGAUGAGAACAGAGUUUAAAAGCUGAUGCUCUGAUACUGUUUUCUACAUUAAAUAGACAAUUCUGGGGCUCUUCAAAUGUAGUAUUUGUGGAAUGUCUUCUUUUGAGGAAUUCCAAAUUCCUAUCAAGUUUGAUUUUACAUACUAAGUAUGAUUUUCCACAUGAAGUUACAUCUUUUUAUUCCAAGAAUAUACUGUAUAUGUGGAAAAUAGACGAGGUGAAAUAUUGCAUGUUAAAAUUGCAUGGCAGAGUCAUAGAAAGUUGCCAAACAACUAAAUUGCUUUGUCUUUUGAAUCUUUCAACUAAAGAGUGUGCACCAACAUUCUUGGAAGUGAUAUUAAAUAAUUACAAACCAAAUAAAACAAAAGCCAAAGACAAAGUCUUUAACUUUUUCUUUUUUCACUCAUCAUUUUCAUGCAUAAACUAGCACUGUAUUUAUUAUAAUAAAAUAUAAUAACCUUUUCUUUAUUUUUUGAUAAAAAUGUAAGACUACAUAACUUUUGUAACUAUACAGCCAUCAUUAGUUAUUAUACUCCUAAUGAAGAAAAAAUAGUAAAUAGAGGGGUAUUUAAAAAAUAAAAAAAUAAAAAAAAAUACCAAACACUUUGCUUACCAAAAAGUGUCUGCACCUCAGAAAUGUGAUAAGAAUUUGGAAAAAAAACCCACAAAGUUUUUCUUUGUAAAUGUCAUGUAAGACUGUAAAAUUUAGAAUUUGGUUUUAUGCAAUUUCUUUAGUUUUACCUUUUAAUUUUUAAUUAUAAAAGCAAAUAUCUCCUUACUGUUUUAAAAAAAAAUCAGCCCAGAAAUACAUGUAGCAUGUCACGAAAUUAUCCCUCUCGUUCCCACCAUUAGGAUCCCUGGAGAGACCCAUGAUUAAACAUUGAUGUGCAUUAUGCUAGACAUUCUCAUCUUAUAUAACCAAAUUAAAAAUUUUAAAAAC